rnacentral:rRNA from 1 species
CCCUUAGAUGGUCUGGGCGGCACGCGCGCUACAAUGAUGCAUUGAAAAAGUCUUCUGACCUUAGAAGGUUGGGUAUUCUCCAAAGUGCAUCGUGAUGGGAAUAGUUUAUUGCAAUUUUUAAUCUUGAACGAGGAAUUCCUAUUAAGUACAGGUCAUCAACUUGUGUUGAUUACGUCCCUGCCCUUUGUACACACCGCCCGUCGCUCCUACCGAUUGAAUGUUCCGGUGAGCUCUUCGGACUGCGCGGUCUGCAGUUUCUGCGUUCCGUGCGGAAAGUUGCGCAAACCUUAACAUUUAGAGGAAGGAGAAGUCGUAACA